GUGUCAGCAGCCGCGGUAAGACGAACUGCCCAAACGUUGUUCGGAAUCACUGGGCUUAAAGGGCGCGUAGGCGGCGAUACAAGUCAGGGGUGAAAUCCGGCAGCUCAACUGUCGAAGUGCCUUUGAUACUGUAUCGCUCGAGGGAGGUAGGGGUCUGUGGAACUUCUGGUGGAGCGGUGAAAUGCGUUGAUAUCAGAAGGAACGCCGGUGGCGAAAGCGACGGACUGGACCUUUUCUGACGCUGAGGCGCGAAAGCUAGGGGAGCAAACGGGAUUAGAUACCCCGGUAGUCC
rnacentral:rRNA from 1 species